rnacentral:ncRNA from 1 species
CAAAUGCUGACGCAAUGUGAUUUCUGACCAAUGCUCUGAAUUUCAAAGUGAAGAAAUUCAACCAAUCGCGGGUAAAUGGAAGGAGUAACUAUGACUCUCUUAAGCUAUCCAAAUGCCUCAUCAUCUAAUUAGUGACGCACAUGAAUGGAUUAAUGAGAUUCCCAAUAUCCAUAUCUACCAUCUAGUGAAAUCAUAGCCAAGGGAACAGGCUUGGCAGAAUCAGCGGGGAAAGAAGACCUUGUUGAGCUUGACUCUAGUUCAACUUUGUGAAAUGACUUGAGAGGUGUAGAAUAAGUUGGAUCUAUUUUCAAUGCAAGUGAAAGACCACUACUUUUAAUGUUAUUUUACAUAUUCAGUGGGGUGGAGACGGGGCAUUGCCCCUGGUUUUGGCCUGAAGACACGUUUUGGUGGGUCGAUCCGGGCGAAAGACAUUGUUAGGUGGGGAGUUUGGAUGGGGUGGCACAUCUGCUAAAAUAUAAUGUAGGUGUCCUAAGAUGAGAUCAACGAGAACAAAAAUAUCAUGUGGAACAAAAGGGUAAAAGCUCAUUUGAUUUUGAUUUUUAAUAUGAAUACAAACCGUGAAAGCGUAGCCUAUUAUGAAAAUGAAGUUGUUUUGGCCUUAGAUGGUGGUGCAUGUUUUCUCAAUACGUAGCUUCACUUUUAAUGCUACUUAAAUUAAUGCAUAGCUUCACUUGUAAUGAAUAGCAAGAAGCAUAAGAACUCCCUACUACAUGCCUAUAAGAUUAGCUUCUCAUGCGCCUUCCAUCAUUUUCCACCAACCUCUCGU